CUGGCUCAGAUUGAACGCUGGCGGCAUGCUUUACACAUGCAAGUCGAACGGCAGCACGAGUACUUGUACUUGGUG
rnacentral:rRNA from 1 species